rnacentral:rRNA from 1 species
UACGAAGGGUGCAAGCGUUACUCGGAAUCACUGGGCGUAAAGCGUGCGUAGGCGGUUCGUUAAGUCUGUUGUGAAAGCCCUGGGCUCAACCUGGGAAUUGCGAUGGAGACUGCAAGGCUUGAAUCUGGCAGAGGGGGGUAGAAUUCCACGUGUAGCAGUGAAAUGCGUAGAUAUGUGGAGGAAUACCGAUGGCGAAGGCAGCCUCCUGGGAUAACACUGACGCUCAUGCACGAAAGCGUGGGGAGCAAACAGG